AAAAUGGUCUUGCUUAAAACAAGAAAAAAUAUCUGCAUAACAAAUAUCUGGGAUAAUAAAAGUAAUCUUAAAUAUCAAGAAAUUAUUAUU